rnacentral:rRNA from 1 species
UACGUAGGGGGCAAGCGUUGUCCGGAAUCAUUGGGCGUAAAGAGCGUGUAGGCGGCCAGAUAAGUCCGCUGUGAAAACUCGAGGCUCAACUUCGAGCUGUCGGUGGAAACUAUUUGGCUAGAGUCCGGAAGAGGAGAGUGGAAUUCUCGGUGUAGCGGUGAAAUGCGUAGAUAUCGAGAGGAACACCUGCGGCGAAGGCGGGUAGCUGGGCCGACACUGACGCUGAGGCGCGAAAGCCAGGGGAGCGAACGGG